UUAGAGUAUUUCCAGUCCUUAUAGUUUUACUCCAAUUUGAGUACAAACUUCAUUUGCUAUGAAGCACUCCGAUGGACAAACUCAAAUCUUGGCACAAACAUGAGCCAAAAGAUACAUUAAUGACAUGGUUGGUCUCUGUUCUAUAGCCGUGGGUUCGAUAUGGUCUUGGUUUUAGUAUUCAACAACAAUAGUUCUAGUCAAGAUUUGGUUGUAUACAUAAGAAUAUACUUUGAGAGCUUAGUCACGAUGAACUUGAAAUAUCAAUUCAGUUCGAGUGACUUCAUGAACUGAUGAAACGAUUGUAGUUAUACACAAUUAAUAACUAGACUUCUAUGUCUUUGUUGGAUUUGAACAUCGGGUCCAUAUGUUUGAAAUCUACAUCUAUCUAGAUGGAGCCUUUGGGUUUUUUUUCUAGAUUUUCAGUUUAUUGUUUUUUUUUUAUGUAGGUGCUUGGAUUGGAGAGGUGAAAAGGGUUACAAAAGAGACCAAUGUAGCAAUGAGAAUAAACUUGGAUGGUUCGGGCAUAGCUGAUAGCAGCACUGGGAUCCCUUUUCUUGACCACAUGUUUGAUCUGUAUUCAAAGGUUUGGUCUAAAAUGUCUCCAACCCAGUCGUGUCCCAGUUGCCGAGGAUUUAGAUUGUGAUUAAUAUGGGAACUUCAAUUGGAAAAGUUGGCUUUCUUGGAGGGGCAAGCCAAAAGCUCGUUUGACACACAUUGAAACCUUAAGGAGAUGGUAUCUGAUAUUGCUAUGAAAUGGUAAAAACUGUCAAGAACUGGCGCUAUCGAGACGAAGUAUAUGGGUUUUGAAGCACAAUUAUGUUCACUAUGGAGAAAGACCAAGACUCUCUGGAGGUAUGUUUUAUGUCACCAAAUCUGAAUUCUUCUAUCUUUUUUAAGCUAAUAAGCAAAUCCGAGUUCUUAUCCUUGACUCGAAGAUAUAUGAAUGUCCCACUGAGAAGUUGCACCUAUUUUUCAAUUUUAGAGGACGAUGAAUUGGCGUGCGAAAUUGGAUACUCACAGGUUGCAGUAUGGUUCUUAUGCCAAUUCCAUUAUUUUUAUUAAGCGACGGAUAUUACCGAUCAUUAUCAGCCAUAUAUGCUUUUCAUCCGUUUGUCUUCUAUUUAAGCUAGAAAUGCUUUUUAGAAAUGUCAUGAACAAAUAUUUCUCCUGAAUUUUCAUAAGCUCAAAAGACCGUGUUUUAAUUCCUAGGCAAGAAUCAUCGGGCAUAUAACUACAAAUAUAGUAGCCAAUUCCAUGGUUUAGUAGUCGAUUUGUUUGCUUAAUUAUAGGUGUGAAUCUGUGUAUCUAAGUAUUGUUGGCUUGGGUGUGUUCUGGUUGGAGUAAGAUUACAAGCCUCCUUCAAGUUUGAGCAGUCAUCGUUGCCGAUGGAGGAGGGAACGGAGCUACUGCUGUGACUGUACCAAAAGUGGCUCAGAAAAAAGUGACUGUGAAACUAGAUCCCAAAAUUGUGAUUGAGAUAAGCCCUGAUACAUUAGAAGAGAUCAAGAUCAAGAUCAAGAUCAAGAAUGAUAAAAAAAGCUAGUGAUGGGUCGUCGAGAAAGAAGUCACAUACAACCCUCACUUCAAUCCUCACUACCAGAAGCAAGGUGGCCUAUGUUUUCUUCUGUAUGAAAACAUCAUUGAAGUGACUGAGGACUUUAGUGCCAAACGCUGUGUUAGUGAAGGAGGAUAUGGUUCUGUUUAUAGAGCUUCUUUGCCCAAUGGUCAAGUAGUUAUUGUGAAGAAACUUCAUACAUCAUUCGAUGGUGAAUUGGUUGAUCCCAAAAGCUUCACGAGUGAGAUCAAUGCAUUAACCAAAAUACGACAUCGCAACAUCGUAAAGCUUUAUGGGUAUUGCUCACAUCUGAGGCACUCGUUUUUGGUUUAUGAAUUUUUGCAAGAGGAAGCUUGGAAAAUAUACUGUGCUCAGAGGAACAAGCAUUAGAGUUUGAUUGGAUUAAGCGAGUGAAUGUUGUUAAAGUGGUGGCAGAUGCUUUCUCUUAUAUGCACCAUGGUUGUUCGCCUCCAAUCAUCCAUCGGGACAUAUCAAACAAGAAUGUCUUGUUUGAUUCAGAGACGUGGCUCAUGUCUCUGA